AAUGACGGCUUAGUCCAGAUCGAGGUGCGAGCGGCCAUGACUUGCCGCUGACGGGCGUGACCGGCACCGUCUUCGCUCGAUCUUGUGCCUCCUCCGUGCCCCCACCCGGCGACCUUCUCCCACGACCGGAUCCGCCGUCUUGCCUCGCCCUCCUCACCUCCUUUCCCAUGGCGCACCAUCAGGCGGCUUCCACAGCCAGAUCCGGCAGUGGCUGCCUCCCUGGUCCUUCUUCUCGUCCUCUCCGGCGGUGGUAGCAUGGUCCGGCAACACAUCCAACGUCGACAGAGGGUGGUGACCCCUCUUCCAGCUACCUUUUGCCAGCAUGCACUCUAGGCAGUAGCGGUGUGCACUGCAAGCGGCGAUGGCGUGCACUGCAGGCAGUAGCAGCAUGCACUGCAGGCGGCGGCGUGCACUGCAGACGCAUGGUGCAGUGCACCUCGCCAUGCGAGUGCGGUUAGGAAGAGUUUUCUUUCUUUCUAUUUUCUAGAUUUUGCUUGUGCAGUUCAGCCAGAUCCCGUGAGCAGUGUGUCGUGCGCCCCGAUGUGGUUCUCAUCCAUGGCCACCUCGCGCGGUCUCCAUCACUGGCGCCGGGACUCCGAGCGGAUGGCGGGUGGAGCUGCCUACCUUGCACUGCAGCAUGGUGUUUCUAUUCACGGGGUCCCUCCUCCUCUGAUCCCUUUUCCCUUCUUGCAAUGCAUUGUGCGUUUAGCCUGAGCACCCCUCGCCGCUCUCUCCUUGCCGGAGAAGUAUGGCAGCAUGCCGGCUUGCACUCCUGUUCCGGCGGCAGCCACUGUUGGCCAAUCCUUUGUAGCAUGUGUGCUUCCGCAAGCAGAACAUGCAGCUCAGGCAAAGCAGAACAUGCAGCUUCUCCAGUGUGCACUUGGGGUUUGCUAGCUAAUCAUGCAUGUCUUGCAUUUUGCCGGUGACCAUACUGCAGUCCACCAUUGCGACGUGGGUUGUUUUGCAGCUCACAUAUUUUUUCUUUUGGAAAUCAUUUGCAUUGCACUCAUUAAGAAAAGAGAAGAUAACAUUAAUAUUCAUUUGAAGUCCAUUUUGUUGUUUAUGAGGAACGCAAAGAGCAAGACUAGUAAGAAUGGAUGGUCAUUUCUUUGCCCUAGCGUAGUUCGGUUGGGUACUUGUGUCGUUGAUUCUGCUGUGUACUGGAUGGUUGUGUGGCUAUGUAAAAAUAAUGAGUGGAUAUGUAUGUUUUGAAGCUCACUUUAUUCUGCCACGUAGUUCGCUAUAAAACUCCUUUGAGGUUCACUUGUACUCCAAAGCAAAAACACCUCAGAAGAAGCUCGCUACUAAUUA